rnacentral:rRNA from 1 species
AUUAGUUUUUUAAUUGGAGGCUUGAAUGAAUGGUUGGACAAGAGAUAAACUGUCUUAGGUCAAUACAUUGAAUUUAACUUUUAAGUGAAAAGGCUUAAAUAAUCUGAAGGGACGAUAAGACCCUAUAAAACUUUAUAUUUAUAAAUGAUAGUUAGUUUUAUUUAAGGGUAUUAUUUUAAAAUAUUUGGUUGGGGCGACAAGGAUAAAAUAGAAAAUAACUGUCUUUUUUUUUUACAGUAAUGUUUGGUUAUAUGAUCCUAAAAGGGAUUUAAGAUUAAGUUACUUUAGGGAUAACAGCGUAAUUUUCUUUAAGAGUUCUUAUCGACAAGAAAGUUUGCGACCUCGAUGUUGAAUUAAAAGUUCUUUAUAGAGUAGAGGCUAUAAUGGAAGGUCUGUUCGACCUUUAAAGUUUUACAUGAUUUGAGUUCAGACCGGUGUGAG